rnacentral:rRNA from 1 species
GACAGAGGGUGCAAACGUUGUUCGGAAUCACUGGGCGUAAAGCGUGUGUAGGCGGUCUUGUAAGUCGGAUGUGAAAGCCCCGGGCUCAACCUGGGAAGUGCACUCGAUACUGCAAGACUUGAGUACUGGAGAGGUUGGUGGAAUUCUCGGUGUAGAGGUGAAAUUCGUAGAUAUCGGGAAGAACAUCGGUGGCGAAGGCGGCCAACUGGACAGAUACUGACGCUGAGACACGAAAGCGUGGGGAGCAAACAGG